UGGGGAAUAUUGCACAAUGGGCGAAAGCCUGAUGCAGCGACGCCGCGUGAGGGAUGACGGCCUUCGGGUUGUAAACCUCUUUCAGCAGGGACGAAGCGAAAGUGACGGUACCUGCAGAAGAAGCGCCGGCUAACUACGUGCCAGCAGCCGCGGUAAUACGUAGGGCGCAAGCGUUGUCCGGAAUUAUUGGGCGUAAAGAGGUCGUAGGCGGCUUGUCACGUCGGGUGUGAAAGCCCGGGGCUUAACCCCGGGUCUGCAUUCGAUACGGGCUAGCUAGAGUGUGGUAGGGGAGAUCGGAAUUCCUGGUGUAGCGGUGAAAUGCGCAGAUAUCAGGAGGAACACCGGUGGCGAAGGCGGCAUCCUGGACCGGCAUUGACGCUGAGGCGCGAAAGCCAGGGGAGCAAAC
rnacentral:rRNA from 1 species